rnacentral:rRNA from 1 species
AACGAACGCUGGCGGCAGGCUUAACACAUGCAAGUCGAGCGAGACUUCGGGUCUAGCGGCGGACGGGUGAGUAACGCGUGGGGAACGUGCCCUUUUCUGCGGAAUAGCCUCGGGAAACUGAGAGUAAUACCGCAUACGCCCUUUCGGGGGGAAAGAUUAUCGGAGAAGGAUCGGCCCGCGUUGGAUUAGGUAGUUGGUGGGGUAACGGCCUACCAAGCCGACGAUCCAUAGCUGGUUUGAGAGGAUGAUCAGCCACACUGGGACUGAGACACGGCCCAGACUCCUACGGGAGGCAGCAGUGGGGAAUCUUAGACAAUGGGGGCAACCCUGAUCUAGCCAUGCCGCGUGAGUGAUGAAGGCCUUAGGGUUGUAAAGCUCUUUCAGCUGGGAAGAUAAUGACGGUACCAGCAGAAGAAGCCCCGGCUAACUCCGUGCCAGCAGCCGCGGUAAUACGGAGGGGGCUAGCGUUGUUCGGAAUUACUGGGCGUAAAGCGCACGUAGGCGGACCAGAAAGUUGGGGGUGAAAUCCCGGGGCUCAACCUCGGAACUGCCUUCAAAACUACUGGUCUGGAGUUCGAGAGAGGUGAGUGGAAUUCCGAGUGUAGAGGUGAAAUUCGUAGAUAUUCGGAGGACACCAGUGGCGAAGGCGGCUCACUGGCUCGAUACUGACGCUGAGGUGCGAAAGCG